rnacentral:tRNA from 1 species
GACAGUUCACAUCUAGUGGCCUAGGACACGACGCUUUCAAUGUCGGAACACGGGUUCGAUUCCCGUACGAGACGCCA